UACGGAGGGUGCAAGCGUUAAUCGGAAUUACUGGGCGUAAAGCGCACGCAGGCGGUUGGAUAAGUUAGAUGUGAAAGCCCCGGGCUCAACCUGGGAAUUGCAUUUAAAACUGUCCAGCUAGAGUCUUGUAGAGGGGGGUAGAAUUCCAGGUGUAGCGGUGAAAUGCGUAGAGAUCUGGAGGAAUACCGGUGGCGAAGGCGGCCCCCUGGACAAAGACUGACGCUCAGGUGCGAAAGCGAUGGGGAG
rnacentral:rRNA from 1 species